rnacentral:lncRNA from 1 species
CCUUAAGCUCGCUCCAAUCAUCUUGCUGGGUGUCCUCUUGUUGAGUGACUGAGGCUUCUUGAUGAACCACUUGUGGCAGCUCAUCAUAUUGAUCUUUACUUACAAACCCUUUGUGUGAAUCCAGCAUCAUCCCAUAGGCAGUACUCUCCAGGUUCUCAAUCACUUCAACCUCUCUCUCUAACGUCAAAGCAUGCUGUAGAGGGUCUUCUAGUGACAACUCUUCAAGGAGCUCAUCAGCAAGGGCGUCCAUCUCUUCAAUGUAGAAGACUUGCCCUUAAACUGUUGGUUUCUUCAUUACCUCCUUGAUGUCAAAGUGGAGAACGUGCCCUUUACCUAAGUUGAGAUCAAUCUUGCCCGCUUUCACAUUAACAAUAGCUCCUGCUGUAGCUAAGAAAGGCCUUCCAAGGAUUAAGGGAUCUUGAGCUUCGUCACCCAUCUCAAGCAACACAAAGUCUGUAGGGAUCUCAUAGUUUCCAACCAUCACGGGGAGGUC